rnacentral:lncRNA from 1 species
UUUCAAGAUCACAUGUUUACCAGACCAGAUGGUUAAACUGUACACAUGCCAGCUAGAAACACAACUUAUAUAACAUAUGUACCAAUACUAGAGUCCUGAAUAUUACAAACCAGAAGGACAAAAGGAAAAAAAUGAGCAACAUAAAUCCGAAUGAGAGAGAUUUGUACUAAAGACCAGGGCCUUUUCUGCUCGGUCCGGAAGCCGAAGUUGCCGCUUGCUACUCCUGCUUUGAUAAAACCCAACCGCUGUGACCUUCAGCUGAAUUUGAAGUCCUAACAUAUUUGAUCUCGGGAACAGCUUCCUCACUUGCAUCUCCAGUCAUCUUUGUUGAUCGAAGAGUUCUACAGCUGUAAUACCCAAUUUUAAGCCCGGGCCAAAUAAAUAAACAUCAAAAUAAUAAAAUAAUAAACAGUCCAUUUUUACAUGUAUGUGGCCCAAUUAUACUAACGGCCCAAAUACCUAGCCCUAACAGCACACAUCCGAAAAAACCUAGCCCUUUGCCCCAGCGCCGCACGUCAGCAAGGCUCCCUCGCACGCCUCCGCCGCAGACGAAUCGGGCCACGUCGCCCCCGCACAACGCACGUUCUCCUCCAGUGCAUCUGUAACAAACCACGAACAGCACUAGAAUAACAGAAAUAUAGAAAAAGAGAUUGUUUUUUUUUCUCUGUAAAGAUUCGGUUAUAAAAACCGAUGGACAUCUGCAAAAUUUUUUUUUUACGCAUAUUGAAGAAAGAAAACAAAAAAAAAAUCGAGGCAGAAAAGUUUUUUUGAUAGGUGAUUUUCUUCGUCUUUUAUUUCUUUCUCUUUUAUCUCUUUGAUUUUUUUUUCUUGGUGCACCAAACGAAAAUAAAAGGAAGAAGAGAGGUCCUUACCAACAUAGGCGCGCCGUCGACAUCCUGAUUUGCUUCGUCAAAAUCUAAGUUGAAAAGGGGGGGUUUCGGCAUGAAGAGCAGAGGGGAGGAUACAGCAGUUCUUGCGGCUGCUGUUACUGAAAAUGGAGUAGAAUAUCAGAUUUGCUUCAAAACGACGCCGUUUAAGCUCAGUUCAAAUAGCUUCAAAACGACGCCGUUUAAGAGGCGAGACCCGAUGAUCCGACC